rnacentral:rRNA from 1 species
CACGCACCGUCCGAACGUUAUUCGGAAUUACUGGGCUUAAAGGGUUUGUAGGCGGCCUUGUAAGUCAGGUGUGAAAGCCCUCGGCUCAACCGAGGAACAGCGCUUGAUACUGCAAGGCUUGAGGGAGACAGGGGUAAGCGGAACUGAUGGUGGAGCGGUGAAAUUCGUAGAUAUCAAGCAGAACACCUGUGGCGAAGGCGGCCUUCUGGACGAUGACUGACGCUGAGACGCGAAAGCGUGGGGAGCAAACAGG